CAUUCCAAGCAGGCAGCCAAACAUGGCGGUACUGACCGUGUCGUUCUCGAUUUAAAGUCAUGAAGAGUGCAGGAGUAAAAGAGUUGUGGCAUCUUCCCUUCUCAAAAGGGAUCGAGAUGUGAGCUCCCAGAUACUGUUUUAGCACCGUGCCUGCCUGCCUGCCUGCCUGCCACCAUGUUCUCUGACAUGAUGGCUAUGAGCUCUACUCCUCUGAAACUGUAAAUCCUCAGUAAAAACAUUCUCUAAAUUGCCUUGGUCAUGGUGUCUUAUCUAAGGAGGUGGAGGAGGAAGAAGAGGAGGUGGAGGAGGAAAAGGAGGGGGAAGAGGAAGAGGAAGAGGAAGAGGAAGAGGAAGAGGAAGAGGAGGAGGAGGAGGAGGAGGAAGAAGAAGAAGAAGAAGAAGAAGAAGAAGAAGAAGAAGAAGAAGAAGAAGAAGAAGAAGAAGAAGAAGAAGAAGAAAGUUGCGUGGCCUAGAUCACUCACCAGGGUCAGGAAUGGGGGCUGUGGCUUGCUUGGGGACCCUCUAUGUCUCCCUCUUUGCUUCCUGGCUACUGUGACAUGAGCGGCUUUACUGUGUCAGUCCUCCUGCCUGUCACGAUGCUUUGCAUCUUCAGACACCUAUAGCAGUUCAGCAAGAUGACUUAGGACUGAAACCUUAGAGACUGAGACAAUGCAAAUUAUUACCCUUUAAAUUGGUUUCUUUUUUAGUGAUAAACAGUUGACACAGUUGCCUCAAAAUUCCUAAUACUGUGGGUGAUGGUGGCUCAUGUCCUUAAUCCUAGCACUUGGGAGGCAGAAGCAGGUGGAUUGCUGAGUUUGAGGCCAGCCUGGUCUAGAGAGUGAGUUCCAGGACAGCAAAGGCUACAAAGAGAAACCCUGUCUCAAACAACAACAACAACAUGUCUUGAUAAUGAUAAUUCUAAAAGAAGACCUGGCAGGUCUGAGAGGAUCUAUAUUGAGCAUAGAUGGAUUGAGCUGAGAAGACCCGCCCAGUGUGUGGGACAUCAUUCCCUGGACUGGCAUCCUGGACUGCAUAAAAAGAGCCAGACACAAGCACUGAUUGCUCUCUGCUUUCCUGACUGUGCCCGCAUAGUGAUCAGCUGCCUCAAGCUACCGCAUCAAGAUGGAUUACUCCCUUGAACUGUGGACCAAAAUAAACAUUUUCUCCUUUUA
rnacentral:lncRNA from 1 species